UCAACUUUCUUCAUACAGAACUCACACACUUGAGAACUUGGUCCCUGGACUAAAUCACUGGCAAAGAGGAAAGGACCAUCAUGGACUAUCCUUCAGAGUCAGGUACAUGGUCACCCAAAAGUGAUCAGUUCAGUAGAGAAAGGAGGAAUCAAUAUUGGUCUGCUAACCAGCAAAGUCUGCCAAAAACAUUGUGCCGAGUCACUGCAUAUGACAAACCAUCAGUGUUAGUAAGCUCACUUCAUUCCAUCCCAUAAGAGUUGGAGUCUCCUGGCGGUUACCCCUGCUUCUGCACAGAUGGACCCACAGGGAAGCCACGUCAUGUAUGAUGUCACACCAGAAGCUAAGUUUCCUCCAGGAGCCAAAGCUGAAACAUGCCCUUCUGCCGGGCUGUAUCUUCAGCACAGAUACAUCAACCUUGAAUCUGAGAAACCUGCUGAAUGCAGCUCCCUUUGGGUCGAGAGAGUAGAGACGUCACGGCCGAGGCCCCCAAGUCUGGGAGCUGGGGACCCGUCACCAUGGGCUGGCUGUCAGUGUGGCAGCAGCAGGUUCUAAUAAGGCACAGAUUCAAGGGGAGCUUGCACCCCGACCCCCUGGUGAGGUGAUUAUGAUUUGUUCACGG